GGUGAAAAGCACCCCGGAAGGGGAGUGAAAUAGAACCUGAAACCGUGUGCUUACAAGUAGUCAGAGCCCGUUAAUGGGUGAUGGCGUGCCUUUUGUAGAAUGAACCGGCGAGUUACGAUUUGAUGCAAGGUUAAGCAGUAAAUGUGGAGCCGUAGCGAAAGCGAGUCUGAAUAGGGCGUUUAGUAUUUGGUCGUAGACCCGAAACCAGGUGAUCUACCCUUGGUCAGGUUGAAGUUCAGGUAACACUGAAUGGAGGACCGAACCGACUUACGUUGAAAAGUGAGCGGAUGAACUGAGGGUAGCGGAGAAAUUCCAAUCGAACCUGGAGAUAGCUGGUUCUCUCCGAAAUAGCUUUAGGGCUAGCCUCAAGUGAUGAUUAUUGGAGGUAGAGCACUGUUUGGACGAGGGGCCCCUCUCGGGUUACCGAAUUCAGACAAACUCCGAAUGCCAAUUAAUUUAACUUGGGAGUCAGAACAUGGGUGAUAAGGUCCGUGUUCGAAAGGGAAACAGCCCAGACCACCAGCUAAGGUCCCAAAAUAUAUGUUAAGUGGAAAAGGAUGUGGCGUUGCCCAGACAACUAGGAUGUUGGCUUAGAAGCAGCCAUCAUUUAAAGAGUGCGUAAUAGCUCACUAGUCGAGUGACACUGCGCCGAAAA
rnacentral:rRNA from 1 species